CAGAGUUGGGACCGGCAGGCCCCGGAAAGCGGAGGAAGCUUCCAGGCGCGGUUCCCUGCGUGGCCAGGCUCCACAGAGCCUGGCUGGGCCUCAGCCCAGGUCCCAGCCUCAAGUGCCCCGUGAGGCCAGCGAAGGCCUCCUUGCCCUCGGUGUGGGCACACAGAAACGCCGCGAAUGCCCCCUAAUCGGAUCUCUUAGGCUGUGGUUGCCGACCCACGGAGUAAGAACGCAAGGCCGCCGCCAUCAGGUCGUGAUCAUAACCGAGGUCUUGUCUGUGCAGUGGCACACCAGGCCCUGAUCCACAGCCCUCGACAGCUGUCCCACGCGAGCCCUUCCUUGGCAGAUUCUGACCACAACUUGAACACGCAUCAAAAAAUAAGAUCCCCGCCCCAGGCUCUCCCCAAGCUAGCCCUGGGUCCCUCCCAGAGGAAGAGAUGGGAGGACAGGAAGUGGAGAUGGAAAACUGGGCACAGAGAGACCGAAGAUGAAAGAAAUGAAGGGAAGGAAAGAAAGAAGUAAAGGGAAAGAUAAAGAAGAAGAAAAAAGAGGAAGAAAGGAGGGAAGAAAAGAAGGAAGGAAAGAGUCAAAGGCGACUCCUGGGAGCAGAGGGCGGCUUACAGAGAGAAGGGCCUGGCACGACCAGGGCCCGGAUGCCCCGCCUGGCCCGGCCCCCGCGCGCACAGGUACCUGGAGACGAUUUCAACUGAAGUAAUGAAGGCAGUGUCGUGCUGUCGAGAGAAAGGUGGAUCCCAACAACAGGAAACUACCUAAAUCACCGACCAGUUCUGGUGCUGCCCGCGCGGGGCUGCCUCGCCCGCCGCCGCCGCCGCCGCCACCGCCGCCGCCGCCGCCACCGCCGCAGCCAAGCGAGAACCCUGCGAUCGCGCCCGGCCCGGCCCCUUGCCAACCUGCGCCCGCGCUGCCACUGUGUGUCCCGCGCUGCCGCUAAGGCCUCACCGAGGGAGAAGCCACCGGCCCCGGUUUGACCCUUUUAUGCAUGUAACUUCACAGUAUAAAGGAAACCCAAACAAUGUCUCCCUUCUCUAGUCUAAUCUGCUUGCCCAGCCCUCCUCGGAUUCUGUGAAUUUUAGAAAAGAAAAAAUAAAAGAGGAAGAAGAAAAAAGAAAAUGAGAAAGAAAACUCUCCACAAGAUAGGGAGAAUUGUGGUGUGCUUGUCGCGUUACCAGUGGUAACAAUUAUUUGAUGACCCAAAAACCCCCACUAAAUCCGCACGCAUAAACAAAACUAUAUUAGAUUAUUUAUCUACAGCCAGAAGGAUAUGGAAGUUCAGAGGUAAGUGAAAUAAUUUAGUCCCACAAUGCAAGACCUCACACAAACUGGAAGAGAAGUUUCCUUCUCCUUGUCGUUCUUUUUUUUUUCCCCCCCUUUUAGAGCUGGGAUAUCUUACAGAGAAAAGAAAGAUUAAUCUUUCUGACUCUCAAUUUUCUCAUCAGCCAAAGCCAAGCCCUUUUGCCAGCCUGCAUGUCCAUGCUUGCAAGCCCUUCUCUUUGCCAAGGAAGAAAGAAAGAAAAAAGAAACCCAGGGGCCUGUGUCCCCUGAUUAAACACAGCCCAGCACUCCAGGCAGGCGAGCCCGGUGGCGGCUCCUUGCACCAUUGACCUCAGGCCAGACACCUCAGCGCCUACAAUGGGACCUCGGUCUUCCGGCUAGGUUUGCCCGCCCCCGCAGGAAACCAGCUCCACCGGGAGGACAGGAGCCAUUUCCAGCAGAGGAACCCCGAGACAGCAAACCAGCCGGUCACCACUCAACACUUGAGGAUAAUAUUUAUCUCUAUAGAAAUUUAGCACGAUAUGGCUUUUUCCCCCAGAAAACAAGUAAACCAGCACCAAGCGAGCAGACAAAGAAAAA